rnacentral:rRNA from 1 species
AACGCGAAGAACCUUACCUGGGCUCGAAAUGUAGAGGACGAUAUCAGAGAUGAUAUUUCUCGAAAGAGUCUCUAUAUAGGUGCUGCAUGGCUGUCGUCAGCUCGUGCCGUGAGGUGUUUGGUUAAGUCCAGCAACGAGCGCAACCCUUAUCCCUAGUUGCCAUCGGGUCAAGCCGGGCACUCUAGUGAAACUGCCUCGGAUAACGAGGAGGAAGGUGGGGAUGACGUCAAGUCCUCAUGGCCUUUAUGUCCAGGGCUACACACGUGCUACAAUGGCCGGUACAAACCGUCGCAAACCCGUGAGGGGGAGCUAAUCGGAAAAAGCCGGCCUCAGUUCGGAUUGGAGUCUGCAACUCGACUCCAUGAAGCUGGAAUCGCUAGUAAUCGCGGAUCAGAACGCCGCGGUGAAUACGUUCCCGGGCCUUGUACACACCGGAGUA